AAUAAUCGAAUAUUUUUAUAUCAUAAGAGAUCAAUCUGAUAACUACACUUGGUUACAUGAAAUAAACUUAGGCCACACUUACCUUUGUUUAAAGAUCCUACGUGCACAUGUGACAAGGAGUGCACGUGCGGCAAAGAAGACGGAUGCAAGUGUACUACGUGCAACAAAAAAGACGAAACUGAGAAAAGUCGGUGUAAGUGUAUAGAAGGAGAACCCUGUAGUUGUACGUCAUGCACGUGUAGUAAGAAAGAAUGAAUCACUUGUAUUUAUUUGGCUGGUUCCUGUUUAAUAAUUUU